rnacentral:rRNA from 1 species
GACGAACGCUGGCGGCGUGCUUAACACAUGCAAGUCGAACGGUAAGGCCCUUCGGGGUACACGAGUGGCGAACGGGUGAGUAACACGUGGGUGAUCUGCCCUGCACUUCGGGAUAAGCCUGGGAAACUGGGUCUAAUACCGGAUAGGACCCUGGGAUGCAUGUCCUGGGGUGGAAAGCUUUUGCGGUGUGGGAUGGGCCCGCGGCCUAUCAGCUUGGUGGUGGGGUGAUGGCCUACCAAGGCGACGACGGGUAGCCGGCCUGAGAGGGUGACCGGCCACACUGGGACUGAGAGACGGCCCAGACGCCUACGGGAUGCAGCAGUGGUGAAUAUUGCACAAUGGGCGCAAGCCUGAGGCAGCGACGCCGCGUGAGGGAUGACGGCCUUCGGGUUGUAAACCUCUUUCAGCACCGACGAAGCGCAAGUGACGGUAGGUGCAGAAGAAGGACCGGCCAACUACGUGCCAGCCGCCGCAGUAA